UAUAAUACUUGAAAAUACAUCAAGAGGAAGAAUUUGUAUUUUCUUUAUUUGCUUGUGAUCUUUCCAUCUCAUCCAUCCAUCUUUUAAUCCUUAGUAUUUUCUUUAGUCUCACAUCUAAAAACCAUGUAAAACUCCUCCCUCCUAACACCUAUAAAAAGGCUUUUGUACUCCCAUUUGAAGAGGGAGCCUAAAAAUUCUUCUAGAGCCUUGC
rnacentral:lncRNA from 1 species